AAAAACAAAAAAAACAGGUGCAGCCCCUUUAAGGUAAAAAUGAGAGCCAAGCACUUACUAGCUAAAAUGUGUGUAUUAACUGUAUAUAGUGAAUUUAGCAAGUGGCUAAUGUCUAUAGAGAGAUACUAUUUUGGUAAUAAAUUAGCCAUGUAUUAACAUUUCUGUGGUCGUCAUAGCAACGUUAAAGAAAUCAGACGCCAUUUUGGAUGUACAGUAUUUGAAUGGCACUGCUGCAGCUCUUGACUCCAUCUAGUGGUACAUGUUGGAAUAGCAAGUCCCACGGCUGACACUUCUGCCAUUAGCAUAGCAUUCAGGUGUUACAUUGGCAGUUCAAAUGAAAAUAUUGUUACCAGAAACAUUUCAGAUGGGAUUUAAAAACAAUCUGACCACUUUUUGUAUUGACCCGAAGUCUGCUCCUGAUUGGUCCAUGACAGAAAGGGGGCGGGGCUUACUCCACACUCACCUGAGCACCGCAUGAGGACUUCUAUAGGAUUCUGCGUGUACAGCUUCAUCUUUUUUUUCCUUUCUUGACCAGCGCUUGGACAGCCAUUGGAUUAAAAAAAACUUAAACAUGACAUAACCGCGAAGGACCUCUGAACCUCUGCCGUGUGCGAAGUGGAUUUCAAAUGUUUUUUUUCUUGUUUUUUUUUUUUUCUUUGUUGAUUAGACGAUGAUAAUCAUGAUGGGGGCGACAUGGGACGUUGGUUCACUGCAAGCAACAACAUGAACUCAUGGCAAAUUUGGGGGGAUUUUGGGGGCCUUGUUGAAUCACUGGUUGGAGCAGGACAUUAAGCCCAAGUUGCUCAAAAACAAAAUGGCGGACUGUCCUGGAGAUGGAGGAAAAUCGAUAUAUUUUUUUCUUUUAUUUUGUAUGUUGUCCAUGAGGUUCCUAGCUGCUCGCUGUGUAGAGUGAAUGACUCCCUGUUUUAACCCUUUCUGGUUUCAGACUGCAUUGGUAAUGUUUGUAUUGCUGUUGUUUGAUGCACUCACAUUUGAUUACAGAAAGCGUCUAUAUAUGAAAUAAAAGACCUGCCAAG
ensembl:lncRNA